UGGGGAAUAUUGGACAAUGGGGGCAACCCUGAUCCAGCAAUGCCGCGUGAGUGAUGAAGGCCUUCGGGUUGUAAAGCUCUUUUGUAAGGGAAGAUGAUGACGGUACCUUACGAAUAAGCCCCGGCUAACUUCGUGCCAGCAGCCGCGGUAAUACGAAGGGGGCUAGCGUUGUUCGGAAUGACUGGGCGUAAAGGGAGCGUAGGCGGUAAAUUACGUUUGAUGUGAAAGCCCUGGGCUUAACCUGGGAACUGCAUUGAAUACGGACUUACUAGAGUGAAAGAGGGGAAGAUGGAAUUGCGUGUGUAGAGGUGAAAUUCGUAGAUAUACGCAAGAACACCGAUGGCGAAGGCAGUCUUCUGGCUUUUAACUGACGCUAAGGCUCGAAAGCGUGGGGAGCAAA
rnacentral:rRNA from 1 species